rnacentral:rRNA from 1 species
AUUGAACGCUGGCGGCAGGCCUAACACAUGCAAGUCGAGCGGAGCGGCGGACGGGUGAGUAAUGCCUAGGAAUCUGCCUGGUAGUGGGGGAUAACGUCCGGAAACGGGCGCUAAUACCGCAUACUAUCAGAUGAGCCUAGGUCGGAUUAGCUAGUAGGUGGGGUAAAGGCUCACCUAUGCGACGAUCUCUAGCUGGUCUGAGAGGAUGAUCAGCCACACUGGGACUGGGACACGGCCCAGACGCCUACGAGAGGCAGCAGUGGGGGAUAUUGCAACAGGGGCGAAAGCCUGAUGCAGCGACGCCGCGUGGGGGAUGAAGGCUUUCGGGUUGUAAACCUCUUUCGCUAUCGAACGGGUAGGUGGAGAAGAAGCGCCGGCUAACUACGUGCCAGCAGCCGCGGUAAUUC